UGGGGAAUCUUGGGCAAUGGGCGAAAGCCUGACCCAGCGACGCCGCGUUGGGGAUGAAGCCCUUCGGGGCGUAAACCCAUGUUGUAGGGGACGAAGAAAGUGACGGUACCCUACGAGAAAGCCCCGGCCAACUACGUGCCAGCAGCCGCGGUAAAACGUAGGGGGCGAGCGUUGUCCGGAAUUACUGGGCGUAAAGGGCACGCAGGCGGUACGCCAAGUCGGGGGUGUAAAGUUACGGCUUAACCGUGACCUUGCAAUCGAUACUGGCGUACUGGAGUGCGGGAGAGGGAAGUGGAAUUCCCGGUGUAGCGGUGAAAUGCGUAGAUAUCGGGAGGAACGCCAGUGGCGAAGGUGGCUUCCUGGCCCGCGACUGACGCUCAUGUGCGAAAGCCAGGGGAGCGAACCG
rnacentral:rRNA from 1 species